rnacentral:rRNA from 1 species
GGGUUGUGAGGUUAAGCGACUAAGCGUACACGGUGGAUGCCCUGGCAGUCAGAGGCGAUGAAGGACGUGCUAAUCUGCGAUAAGCGUCGGUAAGGUGAUAUGAACCGUUAUAACCGGCGAUUUCCGAAUGGGGAAACCCAGUGUGUUUCGACACACUAUCAUUAACUGAAUCCAUAGGUUAAUGAGGCGAACCGGGGGAACUGAAACAUCUAAGUACCCCGAGGAAAAGAAAUCAACCGAGAUUCCCCCAGUAGCGGCGAGCGAACGGGGAGCAGCCCAGAGCCUGAAUCAGUGUGUGUGUUAGUGGAAGCGUCUGGAAAGGCGCGCGAUACAGGGUGACAGCCCCGUACACAAAAAUGCACAUGCUGUGAGCUCGAUGAGUAGGGCGGGACACGUGGUAUCCUGUCUGAAUAUGGGGGGACCAUCCUCCAAGGCUAAAUACUCCUGACUGACCGAUAGUGAACCAGUACCGUGAGGGAAAGGCGAAAAGAACCCCGGCGAGGGGAGUGAAAAAGAACCUGAAACCGUGUACGUACAAGCAGUGGGAGCACGCUUAGGCGUGUGACUGCGUACCUUUUGUAUAAUGGGUCAGCGACUUAUAUUCUGUAGCAAGGUUAACCGAAUAGGGGAGCCGAAGGGAAACCGAGUCUUAACUGGGCGUUAAGUUGCAGGGUAUAGACCCGAAACCCGGUGAUCUAGCCAUGGGCAGGUUGAAGGUUGGGUAACACUAACUGGAGGACCGAACCGACUAAUGUUGAAAAAUUAGCGGAUGACUUGUGGCUGGGGGUGAAAGGCCAAUCAAACCGGGAGAUAGCUGGUUCUCCCCGAAAGCUAUUUAGGUAGCGCCUCGUGAAUUCAUCUCCGGGGGUAGAGCACUGUUUCGGCAAGGGGGUCAUCCCGACUUACCAACCCGAUGCAAACUGCGAAUACCGGAGAAUGUUAUCACGGGAGACACACGGCGGGUGCUAACGUCCGUCGUGAAGAGGGAAACAACCCAGACCGCCAGCUAAGGUCCCAAAGUCAUGGUUAAGUGGGAAACGAUGUGGGAAGGCCCAGACAGCCAGGAUGUUGGCUUAGAAGCAGCCAUCAUUUAAAGAAAGCGUAAUAGCUCACUGGUCGAGUCGGCCUGCGCGGAAGAUGUAACGGGGCUAAACCAUGCACCGAAGCUGCGGCAGCGACACUAUGUGUUGUUGGGUAGGGGAGCGUUCUGUAAGCCUGUGAAGGUGUGCUGUGAGGCAUGCUGGAGGUAUCAGAAGUGCGAAUGCUGACAUAAGUAACGAUAAAGCGGGUGAAAAGCCCGCUCGCCGGAAGACCAAGGGUUCCUGUCCAACGUUAAUCGGGGCAGGGUGAGUCGACCCCUAAGGCGAGGCCGAAAGGCGUAGUCGAUGGGAAACAGGUUAAUAUUCCUGUACUUGGUGUUACUGCGAAGGGGGACGGAGAAGGCUAUGUUGGCCGGGCGACGGUUGUCCCGGUUUAAGCGUGUAGGCUGGUUUUCCAGGCAAAUCCGGAAAAUCAAGGCUGAGGCGUGAUGACGAGGCACUACGGUGCUGAAGCAACAAAUGCCCUGCUUCCAGGAAAAGCCUCUAAGCAUCAGGUAACAUCAAAUCGUACCCCAAACCGACACAGGUGGUCAGGUAGAGAAUACCAAGGCGCUUGAGAGAACUCGGGUGAAGGAACUAGGCAAAAUGGUGCCGUAACUUCGGGAGAAGGCACGCUGAUAUGUAGGUGAGGUCCCUCGCGGAUGGAGCUGAAAUCAGUCGAAGAUACCAGCUGGCUGCAACUGUUUAUUAAAAACACAGCACUGUGCAAACACGAAAGUGGACGUAUACGGUGUGACGCCUGCCCGGUGCCGGAAGGUUAAUUGAUGGGGUCAGCGCAAGCGAAGCUCUUGAUCGAAGCCCCGGUAAACGGCGGCCGUAACUAUAACGGUCCUAAGGUAGCGAAAUUCCUUGUCGGGUAAGUUCCGACCUGCACGAAUGGCGUAAUGAUGGCCAGGCUGUCUCCACCCGAGACUCAGUGAAAUUGAACUCGCUGUGAAGAUGCAGUGUACCCGCGGCAAGACGGAAAGACCCCGUGAACCUUUACUAUAGCUUGACACUGAACAUUGAGCCUUGAUGUGUAGGAUAGGUGGGAGGCUUUGAAGUGUGGACGCCAGUCUGCAUGGAGCCGACCUUGAAAUACCACCCUUUAAUGUUUGAUGUUCUAACGUGGACCCGUGAUCCGGGUUGCGGACAGUGUCUGGUGGGUAGUUUGACUGGGGCGGUCUCCUCCUAAAGAGUAACGGAGGAGCACGAAGGUUGGCUAAUCCUGGUCGGACAUCAGGAGGUUAGUGCAAUGGCAUAAGCCAGCUUGACUGCGAGCGUGACGGCGCGAGCAGGUGCGAAAGCAGGUCAUAGUGAUCCGGUGGUUCUGAAUGGAAGGGCCAUCGCUCAACGGAUAAAAGGUACUCCGGGGAUAACAGGCUGAUACCGCCCAAGAGUUCAUAUCGACGGCGGUGUUUGGCACCUCGAUGUCGGCUCAUCACAUCCUGGGGCUGAAGUAGGUCCCAAGGGUAUGGCUGUUCGCCAUUUAAAGUGGUACGCGAGCUGGGUUUAGAACGUCGUGAGACAGUUCGGUCCCUAUCUGCCGUGGGCGCUGGAGAACUGAGGGGGGCUGCUCCUAGUACGAGAGGACCGGAGUGGACGCAUCACUGGUGUUCGGGUUGUCAUGCCAAUGGCACUGCCCGGUAGCUAAAUGCGGAAGAGAUAAGUGCUGAAAGCAUCUAAGCACGAAACUUGCCCCGAGAUGAGUUCUCCCUGACUCCUUGAGAGUCCUGAAGGAACGUUGAAGACGACGACGUUGAUAGGCCGGGUGUGUAAGCGCAGCGAUGCGUUGAGCUAACCGGUACUAAUGAACCGUGAGGCUUAACCUUACAACGCCGAAG